rnacentral:rRNA from 1 species
UACGGAGGGUGCAAGCGUUAUCCGGAUUCACUGGGUUUAAAGGGUGCGUAGGUGGGCAGGUAAGUCAGUGGUGAAAUCUCCGGGCUUAACUCGGAAACUGCCGUUGAUACUAUCUGUCUUGAAUAUCGUGGAGGUUAGCGGAAUAUGUCAUGUAGCGGUGAAAUGCUUAGAUAUGACAUAGAACACCGAUAGCGAAGGCAGCUUGCUACACGAGUAUUGACACUGAGGCACGAAAGCGUGGGGAUCAAACAGG